ensembl:lncRNA
AGCGGCGUGAUGCUGGCGGGCGCGGCGCCCGGCAGCCUGGAGGGCGGCCCGGCCCAGGCUGGCCCCGGCGGCUGGAGGGGCCGGGCGGCGGGGGCGCCCCAGCCUCCAAGUGGGCGCCCAAGGCGGGUUGGGAAGUGGCAGAACAAGCCCCGGCUGCCGACAUCGGUUCGAUUUUCUGCCCAGCCUCUGACUCGGGUGUGACUUAGGCGCUCCUUGCCUCAGUCUGGUCAUCAGUAAAAUGGACGCGACAUUACAAGCUGCAGUAACCCAUUACUGGGCUACAGAGCAGCUGGGGUCAUUACAUAUUUAGACUGUCGGGCAUCACUUUGUGCUCUGACUCGGUUUGAUCUUGUAUCUUUGAGCAAACUUCAUAAUCUCACCGCGACUCAGUUACCCCAUCUGUUAAAGUAGCAAGGACGUCUCACCUCUCCGGUGGUUUGGAGAUUCCACGAAUCAGUAGUGAGACAACAGCUGGCAUGUCUCAGGGGUCUGCCCUCCGCCCCAUCAAGGACCAGAGGGACUGUGGGAAGUUUUCUUCGUGGCCUGAACCAUGUAGGGUGGGGAGUGUAAGCGCCCCUGGAAAUAAGUGAGUGUGAAUCACAGGCCCAGGGUACGGUGGCGUGAACCUGGCUGCUGGGGCCCCAAUCCUGAAGUUGGCGCUGGCAGCACCUGCUGCAAGGGGGCAGGAGGGAGGCCUGAGCGUGAGUCACUGCCCAGCAAUGAGGAGUGAGUCACGCAGGGCGUGGUCCCCCGGCAGCCCCCCCACCCCAGCGUCCCAGCCGCUCCCACAAAGGCCCUUUGAGAAAGUUCCCCACCCCCCUCCCCCAGACUCUGGGCCCUCUGGGGGAGAUUGUGCUGUGGGGCCAAGGCCCUAGUGGGCUGCCCCCAGGACCCCUGCCUGGGCCGGGAAGGCGCCAGCCUGCUUCUGCAAUGUCUGUGAAGAGUCACCGUGGGCAGCAGAGCGUCCCCAGAGAGGGGGCUUUUAGGUUGCCUGAGUCACUAGGGGGACAGUGAAGGGUCACACGCAUACAGUGGGUAAAGUUGAGUCAGGCUGUCUGGUUGGGCGUGUGGGCCAGGGCCCUUGCAAUCAGGCUUUGAAGGCAUCAUUCUUCCCACCCUGGGAGAGCGUGCAACUCAGGAAAGCCCAUGACUUCUGGAUCUUUGUUCCCCAAUCGGAGAUUGAACCCAGUGGAAGCAUAGAGUCCCAAACCACUGACCUGCCAGAGCAGCCCCCAGUGAGUCUAUUUAAAGCAUAGCUUUGGUCACUACGUGUCGAUGACCUUCCUCUCCAAUCAUCUCCUUGAGGGGGCCCUCAGGUGUCUCUGACUCCAUCUGCUCAUCCUUCCUCCGUGGUUCCUCGGUCCCCACACUUGGUCCACCCCUGAGACCUGUCUGCCUCCUGAAGCUGCCUGUUUCCACCUGUUCCCCGGGGCCUCCGUCCUAAUUCAAGCCGGUGGACAGCCAGCCACACGGGUCUCCCUGUUGGCCCUCUGCUUCCUCUCAUGUCCUCGUUGCUGUGUGCUUGCCCUGGUGGACCUGCUGAUCACCUCCCACUAAAUCUGCUAUAUCAUGAUUUCAGACAAUGGUUACACAACUUGUAUGCGUAUGUCAAAACUCAGAGAACCAUGUAAAGGCAGAAUUUUACUCUAUGUAAAUAAUACCUCAAUAUAUUUAACUAAAAAUAGAAACCCAGACUUCCCUGGUGAUCCAAAGAUAAAGAAUCUGCCUGCAAAUGCAGGGGACACGCGUUCAGUCCCUGAUCAGGGAGUAUUCCACAUGCUGCAGGGCAACUAAGCCCGUCUGCCGAAACCACUGAAGACCAUGUGCCCUAGAACCCGGGCUCUGUAACAAGAGAAGUCACUGCAAUGAGAAGCUCCAGCACGGCAGCUGGAGAGCAGCCCCCACUCACCACAGCUGCAGAGAGCCCACGCACAGCAAUGGAGACCCAGCACAGCCAUAAAAAAUAAAAUUUAAAAAAACCUUCCAAAUCUUCUCACGCUAUACUUAUAUCCAAACCCCUCAUUGACCACCAAAGCCCUGCAUGACCUCACCCCCUCCAGAAGCCUUCCCUGAUUGCACCUCAUCCUCCAGACUGGCUCCAUACCUCCCCAACACUCCCUUAUCCUUCUGGCUUUCAGCACUGAAAACUCUUCAUUGCAGUUGGCUAGCUACGUGACUGUCUGCCCCACCUCACAGUGGCAGGCAGGUGCGUGCCACGUCAUUUUGUUCUCCAUGUCAGAAAUGCAGUGAUCAUCAAUACGUCCAGACAACAGUCUGAGACUCUCCUCUGAGUGCUCCAACAUAUAAUGUUCAAAGGCGAUAGGGUGGACUUCCCUGGUAGUACAGGGGCUAAGAAUCCACUUUGCAAUGCAAGAGACAUGGGUUCGCUCCCUGGAAGAUUCCACAUGCUAUGGGGCAACUAAGCCCACGUGCCACAACAAAUGAGCUUGAGCUCCAGUAGCCCUUGAGCCACAGCUACUGAGACCACGUGCUGCAACUACUGAAGCCUGUGCACCUAGAGCCUGUACUCGGCAACAAGAGAAGCCACUGCAACGAGAGGCCCGCACACCGCCCACCGCAAAGAGUAGCCCUGCUUGCCGCAGCUAGUGAAAGCCUGCGCGUAGCAAUGAAGACACAGCGCAACCAAAAAAUAAAAAAUAAGAGUGAUGA